rnacentral:tRNA from 1 species
GGUGGCUUAGUGGUAGAGUGCUUGCCUAACAUGCAUGAAGCCCUGGGUUUGAUUCCCCAGCACCA